AGUUUCUCAUUUUGAGCCACUGUGGGCCAAAGAGGCGUCGGGGGAAGGGGAGGCAGCAGGCUCCCCGCUGCAGGCUUCCCACCCGGCCCCUGCUCCUGGCUGCGGUGACGGCCCUCCACGCCGACAUCUGCGGAAGCGCAUGGGGUCCCAGCCGCACGGCCAAAAGGCUUUGUAUAGAUCUGUGUGAAGGUCCCCACCUUGGACAGGCAAGCAGCUGAUGUUCAGGAGGCCAUGUGGAACCUGAAGUCACUCUGCAAAGCAGUGGCAGCACCUGGGAGCAGGAUCUCAGCCCUCCUGAAGCCUGGUCUGGAGCACCUGAGCGCAGCUAAUGAGAUACCAUCCAGUCCUCAGCUGAAGCAUAUUUACCCCUCAGCAGAAUGUUCAGUUCAGCUUAGAUGCUGCAGAGCUGUCUGGAAGGUGCCCGUCAAAAACAGUCUGUCAAAGAAAAAUCUCAGAAGAGUACAAUUAUCAACAAGCAAUUUUGAGGAAGGAGAUGAAGCAAGGGAGCAAGAAACUUGAAACAAAAUGUGCUAACCAUGCACGACAUAUGUCGUGAAGAAUGAAAAAAAGGACAAAAGGAGUAGUCAGAUCAAUGAGUUUCAUGCCAGAAUCAUCACAACACACCUAAACUGCAUGCAUCUCCAGCGAUUACUUUGACCUCCUUUAAUGGUUGCAGAAAACAGGAUUUUAUGAGCAAUUCAAACUACGCAUGAAGAGUCUGUUAACAAAUAUGUAGUGCCAAAUUCUUAGAUACACAGGACCACUGCAGUAAAAACAAAGGGAUUGUAUGGGUGGGAAUAGGAAUAGAUUUUGCAAGGAAUGUGGAUUCCCAAAGGAAGUGGUAACUUUCAUAAACUCUUGAAAACCCAUUUUCCAUACCCGCCACUCUCACCACCUUCUUCUUAUAAACCUGGUCGUUCAGUAAAACCUGUAGUUUUCUGGCCUGCUGUGCUGUGCUAUUAUGGCUGAACAAGUGGGGUGAAAAACAGGCAUGUGAAAUUUUCACAGCACAGCACACAUCAACACAAAGCCUUGCCUUGGUUUCAAAUUUCUUUACCAAUCCAAAACCCAGACAAGCUUCAUUGAAAGGUUUGUUAAGGUUCACGAACCGCAGGAUGAGUUUGGGGGUGUGCCAAAAAAAAGAAAGGUCUGGAAGAGCGAGCAGAAACUGGGAGCAGAUCUACUUUGGGCUCUGCCACAGGUUGGCUGCGGGUCUUGGGCAGCUCGUCCUCCUUCUCUCCCGUCUCUCAAAUGGCGCUGCUUGAGUAAUGCUGCUGAACUCCUUGUGUCUCAGGAGCAUUCAGAGGAUGAACGGCUGAGAAGCCCUUUAAAUAAGUGGAGUGUUAUACCAGUACUAGACUAGGCUAUAGAGACUUCCCAGUAGAGCCGUAGCAGCAAAGCUCCAGCAGAGACCCAGCUGGAGCAUCCUUUUCCUGGUUUGCAAGAGUCAUCCUGAGGACAAUACGUGUCAUUUUCCUGAAGACAAUUUCUUUUACUUCUAACGUACACCUUCUCAUAGAUUUUGCCACAAUACCUGUGGCCGCUGUUCCACUUCCUCUAAGGCAAAGGAAAUAACUGUAAAAUGCCAUUUACCGAGUGGGGCAUUGGAAGGAGGGAGCUUUGGGCUCAUCAGGAAGACAUACAUAGAGGGGGCAGCUCUGCUGCCACGUUCCCGGGCAGACCGGUGUGUGUACGUGCACAGGGGGAGUUCCUAUCAGUACUGCAACUGCUCUUUAUAAAUUACCAUGAAGUCGCAAACUGAGAUUAGUCUGUUAGGAAAGUUCUGAUCCUGGGUUCAGUUUUAUUAGGGUCAUUUAACUUUUUAGCAAUUGCUUUACCAAGGAUGUAAGAAAAGAUGCUGAGAAAGAAAGAAAAACAAAAGGGCAAACAUGAAAACCACAGUUAAUACUUUCAGGAAAAAAAAUGGUCCAAAUACUGAUGUUUUCUUUCAGGUAAAAUUCUGCUGCUCUGGAUCACAGCUCUACAAUUUUAUGAAAAACAGGGUGGCAUAAAAAGAGACAGUCAUCACUCCACUGACUUCAGAGAAUGCUUUGUUUUAAAGCUGAGUAAAUACACUAAUCUGUUUGCUAAUCUAUACUGUUGUUUGGAGAAAUGCAACUAUUUAAAGUUAGAAGAUUCUGUGUUAAAA